rnacentral:rRNA from 1 species
GUACACGCUGUGACUAGCAUAUCAAUAAGCGGAGGAAAAGAAACUAACAAGGAUUCCCCUAGUAACGGCGAGUGAAGCGGGAAGAGCUCAAAUUUGAAAUCUUAAAGGGUUUCCCUUUACGAAUUGUAGUUUAAAGAAGUGUUUUCUGUUGAGGUUUUGGUAAAAGUUCUUUGGAAUAGGACAUCAUAGAGGGUGAGAAUCCCGUAUUUGACCUUUACUUUCAACUUUGUGAUACACUUUCAAAGAGUCGGAUUGUUUGGGAAUGCAGUCCAAAAUGGGUGGUAAAUUUCAUCUAAAGCUAAAUAUUGGCGAGAGACCGAUAGCGAACAAGUACCGUGAGGGAAAGAUGAAAAGAACUUUGAAAAGAGAGUUAAACAGUACGUGAAAUUGUCAAAAGGGAAGCGUUUGACACCAGUGUUGUUUUUCUGAAAAUCAAUUAAAGAACUGUUUAUGCUAAGUUGUUUAGACUUUAUCAGCUAACUGUUUAGUUUUGAGCUUUUCUUUAAUGCACUUUUCAGUUAACAAGUCAACAUCAAUUUCUUUGCUGUAAAAAAGCUUGAGGAAGGUGGCUUGAGAUUCGUCUUAAGUGUUUAUAGCCUCUUGCCUAUGCAGUCGGAGAGAUUGAGGUCUGCAGCGUAGAUCCUUCGGGGCUAAAUGCAUUUGUGCUAAGUUAUAGCAUUUUAUAGACAACUUGUUGACUAUGAUUUGUCUUGUAGCUUACUCGCUUAUGUUAUUUUACCUACGCUUAGGAUGUUGAAGUCAUCGUAUCGCGC